rfam:Desulfomicrobium baculatum DSM 4028, complete genome.
GGAGCCGGACAGGCUGUCGCUGCCGAUCGCAAGAUUGGGAGAGGAAAGUCCGGACACCACAGGGCAGGAUGCUGGAUAACGUCCAGCGGGGGCGACCCCGGGACAGUGCCACAGAAACAAACCGCCCGGGCUUCAUGUCCGGGUAAGGGUGAAAAGGUGGGGUAAGAGCCCACCAGUUGUCGCGGUGACGCGGCAAGCUAGGUAAACCCCAUCCGGUGCAAGACCAAAUAGGAAGGUGGCCGGCCCGGUCACGACCCUUCGGGUAGGUUGCUGGAGACGGCGGGUAACCGCCGCCCUAGAGGAAUGACAGCCGCCCGGCAACGGGCACAGAAUCCGGCUUAUCGUCCGGCUCCGUAU